GGGCCCAUAGUCUAGCAGCAGGACGCGACCUUCGCAAGGUUGUAACGCGGGUGCGAUUCCCGCUGGGUCCA
rnacentral:tRNA from 1 species